UGGGGGGUCGUCUAAUGGUAGGACAUGGGCCUUUGAAGCCCAGCAUGAGGGUUCGAUUCCUUCCCCCCCAGCCA
rnacentral:tRNA from 1 species